AGCGAACGCUGGCGGCAGGCCUAACACAUGCAAGUCGAACGAUCCUUCGGGAUAGUGGCGGACGGGUGAGUAACACGUGGGAACGUGCCCUUUGGUUCGGAAUAACUCAGGGAAACUUGAGCUAAUACCGGAUGUGCCCUUCGGGGGAAAGAUUUAUCGCCAUUGGAGCGGCCCGCGUUGGAUUAGCUAGUUGGUGGGGUAAAGGCCCACCAAGGCUACGAUCCGUAGCUGGUCUGAGAGGAUGAUCAGCCACACUGGGACUGAGACACGGCCCAGACUCCUACGGGAGGCAGCAGUGGGGAAUCUUGCGCAAUGGGCGAAAGCCUGACGCAGCCAUGCCGCGUGAAUGAUGAAGGUCUUAGGAUUGUAAAAUUCUUUCACCGGGGACGAUAAUGACGGUACCCGGAGAAGAAGCCUCGGCUAACUUCGUGCCAGCCGCCGCCGUAA
rnacentral:rRNA from 1 species